CACGGCUCCGCAGUGUCCUGAGUUGACUCCAAACGUUUACCUGUCCUGACCAUUUUGACAUUAGGGCAGAAUCAGAAGCCUCGCGGAGCCAGACUCAUUGAAUGAGUUCUCGAUCUAUAAGGUAAAAGACGAACAAAGAAAAAGAGCAACCAGAUCCAGCUUAACGUUCCUGAUGCAGUUCCACCGAGAUCCAAGGCCGUGCUCUUAUUUCCCGAGGUGGUUCAUCCCGAAGAGCUGCCUGAGAUCCCACUCCGUCUCAGUGUUUUU
rnacentral:lncRNA from 1 species